rnacentral:rRNA from 1 species
AUUGAACGCUGGCGGCAGGCCUAACCCAUGCAAGUCGCGCGGCGCGGCGGGCGGGGUCGUAAUGCCUAGGAAUCUGACUGUGAGUGGGGGAUAACGUCCGGAAACGGGCGCUAACACCCCCUCCCAGUAGAAGAGCCUUAGCCGGAGUAGGUAUUUGGUGGGGUAAAGGCCUAACAAGGCGACGUUCCGUACCUGGUCUGUGAGGAUGAUCAUGCACACUGGAACUGAGACACGGUCCAGACGCCUACGGGAGGCAGCAGUGGGGAAUAUUGGCCAAUGGGCGAAAGCCUGAUCCAGCCAUGCCGCGUGUGUGAAGAAGGUCUUCGGAUUGUAAAGCACUUUCAGUUGGGAGGCGUUACCAACAGAAUAAGCACCGGCUAACUUCGUGCCAGCAGCCGCGGUAAUUC